GCUCGUAGUUGGAUCUCGGCGGACAGAAGUCGGUCCGAAUGCCUUCGGUACUGGCUUGUUUGUCCGUGUGUUUUGCCAGAGGCAGGCGGGUGCUCUUCGCCGAGUGUCCGUCUGUGCUGGCAGGUUUACUUUGAAAAAAUUAGAGUGCUCAAAGCAAGCUCUCACGCUUGAAUAUUCGUGCAUGGAAUAAUAGAAUAGGAUGUCGUUUCUAUUUUGUUGGUUUUCGGAAAUCGACAUAAUGAUUAAUAGGGACAGUCGGGGGCAUUUGUAUUCAAACGACAGAGGUGAAAUUCUUGGACCGUUUGAAGACAAACUACUGCGAAAGCAUUUGCCAAGAAUGUUUUCAUUAAUCAAGAACGAAAGUUAGAGGUUCGAGGGCGAUUAGAUACCGCCCUAGUUCUAACCAUAAACGAUGCCAGCUAGCGAUCUGCAGGCGUUUUACUUUACGACCUUGCAGGGAGCUUCCGGGAAACCAAAGCUUGUGGGUUCCAGGGGAAGUAUGGUUGCAAAGCUGAAACUUAAAGGAAUUGACGGAAGGGCACCACCAGGAGUGGAGCCUGUGGCUUAAUUUGACUCAACACGGGAAAUCUCACCAGGCCCGGACACGAGAAGGAUUGACAGAUUGAUAGCUCUUUCUUGAUUUCGCGGGUGGUGGUGCAUGGCCGUUCUUAGUUGGUGGAGUGAUUUGUCUGGUUAAUUCCGAUAACGAACGAGAUUCUGUCCUGCUAACUAGUGUCUGCUU
rnacentral:rRNA from 1 species